rnacentral:lncRNA from 1 species
CCAGCUACCACCUGUCCAGAAGUGAUGUUUCUUCUCCAGCUGACCAUCCAAACCGAAUCCUCAGUGCUAUACUGUGGCACUGCAGCCACUACAAUGACUUCACUCACAAUCUAUUCUUCAUGAAGGAUUAACUGCUAGAGAAACCCACCAAGGAGGAUAGUAAAUUUUCCAGCUCUGGUAUUUUCCAAUUAAGUUUGCAAGCUCUCCUGGAAAUAUGCUUCAACCAUCCCAGGACAAAUUACUGGGAGGUAAGUGGAUGAAGACAAGCA